rnacentral:rRNA from 1 species
UACGUAGGUCCCGAGCGUUGUCCGGAUUUAUUGGGCGUAAAGCGAGCGCAGGUGGUUUAUUAAGUCUGGUGUAAAAGGCAGUGGCUCAACCAUUGUAUGCAUUGGAAACUGGUAGACUUGAGUGCAGGAGAGGAGAGUGGAAUUCCAUGUGUAGCGGUGAACUGCGUAGAUAUAUGGAGGAACACCGGUGGCGAAAGCGGCUCUCUGGCCUGUAACUGACACUGAGGCUCGAAAGCGUGGGGAGCAAACAGG